rnacentral:rRNA from 1 species
UACGUAGGUGGCAAGCGUUAUCCGGAAUUAUUGGGCGUAAAGAGCGCGCAGGUGGUUGAUUAAGUCUGAUGUGAAAGCCCACGGCUUAACCGUGGAGGGUCAUUGGAAACUGGUCGACUUGAGUGCAGAAGAGGGAAGUGGAAUUCCAUGUGUAGCGGUGAAAUGCGUAGAGAUAUGUAGGAACACCAGUGGCGAAGGCGGCUUCCUGGUCUGUAACUGACACUGAGGCGCGAAAGCAUGGGUAGCGAACAGGAUUAGA